rnacentral:tRNA from 1 species
GGAGGCAUAGCUCAGUUGGGAGAGCACCUGCUCGACAAGCAGGGGGUCACUGGUUCAAGUCCAGUUGUCUCCA